rnacentral:misc_RNA from 1 species
GAUGAAGAACGUAGCGAAAUGCGAUAAGUAAUGUGAAUUGCAGAAUUCAGUGAAUCAUCGAAUCUUUGAACGCACAUUGCGCCCGCCAGUAUUCUGGCGGGCAUGCCUGUUCGAGCGUCAUUUCAACCAUCAAGCCCCAGGCUUGUGUUGGGGACCUGCGGCUGCCGCAGGCCCUGAAAACCAGUGGCGGGCUCGCUGUCACACAGGGCGUAGUAGAUUUUAUCUCGCUCAGGGCGUGCUGCGGGUUCCGGCCGUUAAAAAGCCUUUUUUACCCAAGGUUGACCUCGGAUCAGGUAGGAAGACCCGCUGAACUUAAGCAUAUCAAUAAGCGGAGGA